GAUGAACGCUGGCGGCGUGCCUAAUACGUGCAAGUCGAGCGAACGGACGAGAAGCUUGCUUCUCUGAUGUUAGCGGCGGACGGGUGAGUAACACGUGGAUAACCUACCUAUAAGACUGGGAUAACUUCGGGAAACCGUAGCUAAUACCGGAUAAUAUUUUUAACCGCAUGGUUCAAAAGUGAAAGACGGUCUUGCUGUCACUUAUAGAUGGAUCCGCGCUGCAUUAGCUAGUUGGUAAGGUAACGGCUUACCAAGGCAACGAUGCAUAGCCGACCUGAGAGGGUGAUCGGCCACACUGGAACUGAGACACGGUCCAGACUCCUACGGGAGGCAGCAGUAGGGAAUCUUCCGCAAUGGGCGAAAGCCUGACGGAGCAACGCCGCGUGAGUGAUGAAGGUCUUCGGAUCGUAAAACUCUGUUAUUAGGGAAGAACAUAUGUGUAAGUAACUGUGCACAUCUUGACGGUACCUAAUCAGAAAGCCACGGCUAACUACGUG
rnacentral:rRNA from 1 species